GUAGGUGGCAAGCGUUGUCCGGAAUUAUUGGGCGUAAAGCGCGCGCAGGCGGUCCUUUAAGUCUGAUGUGAAAGCCCACGGGCUCAACCGUGGAGGGUCAUUGGAAACUGGGGGACUUGAGUACAGAAGAGGAAAGCGGAAUUCCAAGUGUAGCGGUGAAAUGCGUAGAGAUUUGGAGGAACACCAGUGGCGAAGGCGGCUUUCUGGUCUGUAACUGACGCUGAGGCGCGAAAGCGUGGGGAGCAAACAGGAUUAGAUACCCUGGUAGUCCACGCCGUAAACGAUGAGUGCUAAGUGUUAGGGGGUUUCCGCCCCUUAGUGCUGCAGCUAACGCAUUAAGCACUCCGCCUGUGGAGUACGGCCGCAAGGCUG
rnacentral:rRNA from 1 species